rnacentral:lncRNA from 14 species
CUUGCUCUUUCUAGGCCUGGGGAGCCAUUCUUCUUCCCUUUCAUGGUUUCUCAUUUGCAAAUUUUAUUCCACAGCACCAAUUACAGCUAUCUCUCUGCUAGACCACAAGGAGAGGAGCCUGCCCUCUGGCCUAGGAAGAAAUAAUUGCAGGUUUGUUUGAAGUUCUUCAAGGCUCGAGAU